AUACAGAGGGGGCGAGCGUUGUCCGGAAUUAUUGGGCGUAAAGGGCGCGUAGGCGGAAUAGUAAGUCAGAAGUGAAAAUCAUGGGCUUAACCCAUGACCUGCUUUUGAUACUGCUAUUCUCGAGUGCGAGAGAGGAAAGCGGAAUUCCCGGUGUAGCGGUGAAAUGCGUAGAUAUCUGGAAGAACACCGGUAGCGAAGGCGGCUUUCUGGCUCGCAACUGACGCUGAGGCGCGAAAGCGUGGGGAGCAAACAGGAUUAGAAACCCGUGUAGUCC
rnacentral:rRNA from 1 species